AAUACGUUUUACAAAUUUCAGAUUUAUUAAACACAAAUACACUUCAUACAAAAAAAAGUAUCACAAAUUUCCUGACUAGCAUUUCUUUAAGACUUUAACCUUCCAAACAUUUAUUUUCGUGUCUUUAUUACCAGGCAGUUUAAGACUAACAAUCUGAGUUUGUUCUUGAUUCAGUAGUAUAACAGUCCACUGUUCGAUUCUAGUUUUGAAGGAAAUAAAAUUAAAUCCCAGCUUUUAUUUCCUUACGCACAGUAGGAAUAAAUGCAUAUGGGUCUAUUUAAUAAAUGACAAGUAGAAAUAAGUUUACAAAAAUGGGCUUUCAA